UCUAUUUUGGCAGAUUAAUUGUGUCAAAUUUAGAAUUUGAAAAUGACUAUGUCAAAUAG
rnacentral:tRNA from 1 species